GUGCGUCUACAUAGAUUAAAUUAUCUUGAUCCUUUAUUUUAUCUUUUAACGGCUGGGAUUAAAAGAUGCAAACGUAACGUAAAAAUAUGUACGUGUUCAAGUAGUAUAACAUGCCACGUACAAAUAGUGCACAUAGGUUCCAUCCGAAUCGUCAACUAGCCCGUAGAAAGAAAAAAAAAUUAAUCAAUGGGUCAAGGAAGCAAAAAUAGUAGGAAACCUAAACAAAUAAGGACAACGAUUGGACCUAACCAGACCUCACGUGAGGAAGUUCCAAAACAGGAACCAAGACAUGAAAAAAAAGACAGGUUUCCGAUCUGCUUUCACGGUCUCGGCCACCUCAACCCAUGCACCUCCAUCCAUAUAUAAACAAGUACAGCCGGCCGCAGAAGCACACACCAAAAAUUUAGAAGUCGGCAACCAAGAUGGCUUGAAGACAUCACAUGCGAUUCGGCAACUCAGAUGGCUUGAAGACAUCACACGCAACUGGGCCACUUGACAUUUGAUACGCAAAGCCACCUCCAGCCGUUUCACUCUACGUCCGACGAAGUCACGCCAAAGCACACUCAACGCAUGACGAAGCCAUGCCCAGCUACUCCAAUCGACCUCGGAAGAAGUGACGCCAAAGCACUUUUGGCCUAAAUCAUCAGAUAAUUUGGUAAUUGUUAGUAACAGUCUUAUUUUCUCUGGAUAGAAUCUUUAUAAACACUAUAUCAAUUGACAAAUUGUUCCCUAUUAAUAUUCAAGGCAAAACACUAUGACAUGCAAGAAGUUGAGUUGACUUAAAUACAAGGGGACGGAACUGGAACAUUCAUCAAGUAAAACAAAUACGAAUGUGGGAUUCAGUCAAUCCUACCACUGAUGAGCUUAUUAGCCUAGAUAUGAUAUAAGAGCAAAGGAUCAUCAGAAAUCGACCAAAUAAUCAAUGCGGAGAUCUCAGACAAAGAUGUUGAUCCGGACGGAUAUGAAGCUGUUGAAAAUUUCAUGAUGCACGGGCCUUGCAGAGAGGCAAAUACAAAAUGACCAUGCAUGAUGGACAACAGAUGCACUAAACACUUCCCAAAAGGAUACAAUGUCGAUACCACAAUCGAUGAGGAUGGGUUUCCAGUAUAUAGAAGGCGAGACAAUGGAAGGAAUAUCAAAAAGGGAGGAGCAAUGCUCAACAACAGAUUUGUCGUACCAUACAACCGAAACCUUUUGGUCAAUUCCAAGAUCACAUAAAUGUCGAGUGGUGCAACAGGCCCAGGUCAAUCAAGUACCUAUUUAAGAACAUCCAUAAAGAUGACGAUCAGGCAACGGCCUUACUAAAGGAAAGAGAUGCGGCAAACGACUAUGAUGACAUCAAGAAAUACCUAGAGAUGAGAUACAUAUCAACAACUGAAGCAUACUGGCGGAUAUUCCAGUUUGAUCUACACCAUCGUGAUCCACCAGUCGAGAGACUACCAUUCCACAUUGAAAAUGAUCAAGAAGUUAUUUUUCUGGACUCGACUGACAUUGAUAAGAUAGUAAGAAGGCCAGGAUCCACGAGUACUAAGUUCACUGAGUGGAUGGAGGCAAACAAAAUACAUGAGGCAGGAAAAGAAUUAACCUAUGCAGAAUUCCCAUCAAAAUUUGUAUGGAAAAGCGAAACGAAAACUUGGGGAGCCGAGAAGGGGCUUCGCUAUUGGAAGAAUCUACUAUGCACACUCUGCAAGUGGCAGCCGGUAUUAUAUGAGAAUGCUUCUAAACACCGAGAAAGGAUGCACAUAAUUCAGGAUAUUGGAACAGUUAAUGGAGCUAUUCACCCAACAUACAAAUAAGAAUGCCAAGCGCUUGGAUUUCAUGAUGACGACAGUGAGUGGAUUGAAUGCAUCAAUGAAGCAUAAUGCUGGGGCUCAGGGACACAAUUACGAAAAUUAUUCACCACAAUUUUAUGCCAUUGUGAGGUGACCAACCCAAAGAUGUUGAGGGAAUCAACAUGGGAGGCACUGUCUAAAGAUAUCCAGUACAAAAGAAGAAUUAUCCUUAACUUUUCUAUGCUGCAGCUCACUGAUUCAUAGAAAAAGGCAUAUGCUCUGAUUGAGAUAGAGAAACUAAUGAGGCAAGCAGGAAAGACACAAAAGGACUAUCCAGACACAGAACUACCAAAUGCUACAGAACUUGAAGAACUUGGGAACAGAAUGAUAAACGAAAAACUUAGCUAUGACAUGGAGGCACUAAAGAAUGAGCACCAAACCAUAAUAAGCAAUGUUAACCAUGGCCAGAAAAUGACCUUUGAUGCAAUAAUGGAAUCAGCUGCGAAAGGACUUGGAAAACAGAUAUUUGUAGAAGGCUACGGUGGCACAGGCAAAACUUAUCUAUGGAAAGCAAUUACAAGGAAGCUACGGUCAGAGGGAAAGAAAGUGCUUGUGUUAGCAUCAUCUGGCGUUGCAGCUUUGCUCCUACAAGGUGGAAGAACAGCGCACUCAAGAUUCCACAUUCCAAUAAAUUCCAUGGAAGAAUCAACAUGUGAAAUAAAACAAGGCUCACAUUUGGCUGAACUGGUAAAGAAGACCUCACUGAUACUAUGGGACGAGGCUCCUAUGGCAAACAAACACUGCUUCAAUGCACUAGAAAAUAGCCUUAGGGAUAUUCUAAGGUUCACAAACCAAAAUAGUGAAGAAAGGCCAUUUGGUGACAUGAAAGUUGUGCUAGAAGGUGACUUCAGACAAAUACUUAAAGUGAUAACAAAGGAAAAGAGAGAGCAGAUAGUAAAUGCCUCGGUCAAAAGUUCAUACCUAUGGAAGUACUUCGAAAUAUUUAGACUAACUGAAAACAUGCGGCUAAAGUCUGUUAGAAGAUCCAAUAGAAAAGCAAAAUGUGGCCGAAUUUGCAGAAUGGAUAUUACAAUCUGCGAUGAAAAAAUGAAGGGAGAUGAUUGGGUAAGAAUACCUAAAGACAUAAUUCUACAUAAAGGAGAAGACCCCAAAGAAGAGAUAGUAAAAAGCACAUACCCAAACUUGCAGCAAAACUAUCGUAACCGUGAAUUUCUCGAAGAAAGAGCAAUCCUGUGUCCAAGGAAUGAAAUAGUUAAGAUAAAUGACUACAUAAUGAGCCAAAUACAAGGUGAAGAGAUGAAAUACCUAUACUUGGACACUGUGUGCAAGGCAACAAUGAAUUACAACACUAAUGGAGAAUAUGUGUGCAACAGAGUUCCUUAGCAACAUGAUCUUCCCAGGAAUUCCAAUCCAUGAGCUAAAACUAAAGGUAGGUUUGGAGGUGAUGCUCCUACGAAACAAGCAGACGGUUUAUGCAAUGGCACAAGAAUGACUAUCAUACAGCUGGGAAAAAAGGUACAUUGAGGCACAAAUAAUCACACGAACACACGUCGGUGACAAGGUAUACAUACCUAUAAUCAUUAUGUCACCAAGCGACUCAAAGUGGCCCUUUGUGCUGAAAAGAAGGCAAUAUCCUCUAUCAGUUUAUUUCGCAAUGACCAUAACCAAAAGCCAAGGUCAAUCCCUAAACAAGGUGGGCCUAUAUUUGUGUAAGCAAGUCUUCUUCCAUGGGCAAUUCUAUGUAGCAUUAUCAAGAGUCACAAACAGAGAAUGAUUAAAGGUGUUGAUUGACAACACGGAGUACCCAAGCGAAGAUAGCACAAAGAAUAUAGUAUACAAAGUGAUCUUCUAAUUUUUUGUUAUACAAACAAAUGCAUAUGAAGGCCAAAUAAUCAUGAUUAAACAAUACAAUGUAUGGUUCAAAAGUGUGAUGUCCAUGUUUUAGAUAUGUGGCCGGAAAUACUGUACACAAAAGGAUGUUAUAGAUUGGAUUUCUUAUUGUUUUCGUAAACACAAAAUAAGAACAUGACAAUGCAUAUUAUUAUUGCCAUACACUGCUUUCAUGCAUACAGAUGUUAACAAGUGUGUACAUGUAGCUUCCUUUCUGUAUGACAACAAUCAAUUGGUACUUAUUAAUUUAAAAGUAUAUACUCCAUUAAUUCUUAUUAUAGCGGAUGAGCUUUAAAGAUGAACAGGUUACGUAAGACAUAGAGCGCGUACACAGCAGAUCAUUGACAUGUGUACGAGGAAUUCUUUUUUUUCCAAGAGAGGACGUAGAGAGAAGUCCAACAUGCAUACGUACACAUUUUAGUUAGAAAAGCACACCAACUUCAACUCAAAAAGAAAAGGCACACCAACUUUUUUGAGAUAACACAUGUAUAGGGGAGUCCAACGCGCAUACAUAGACAUUAGUUAGAAAAUGAAAACAACUAAAAAGAGCAAACUACGAGAGGUCUGUUCUCAGGAAUAAAAAGCACAUACACAGCCGAAAAAAGGCAGGAAGGUCUAUACCAAAUAAAAAACGCCUUAUCGGAUAAUAUUGAAAUAUAUAUGAGUCUUUCCCGGACAUGUAUGCCGAACUUGGAAGAGCUGGUGUCCCUGUCUAUCUAGGAUUCUAAUUGAAUGCAAAUCUUAUUUUUGUAACUUUUUUUAACACUGUUUUGCAACUCCCACAUGCACGCAUGCAAACAGGAAAGCUAGCAUACAUGUAUGUAAGCUUAUCUCCGUACUUGCACGACAAAUAAGAAAAUAGACAUCUAUAAUACCAUAGCUAACACAUCAAAAUAUCCCAUACACUUAUCAAACUACCGCGCAUUGAAUACAGAAGCGAUGAGCGCCCAGCUAAUUGAAAUAUCAAAUCCAUAGAUUCGCACAGGACCUGCAUUAGAUGAGUUAAGAAAACAUUGUAUCUGGUGAACACCACAAAAAUUAUUUUUAAAAUUAAUUUGGUAAUACAAAAUGUUUGCAAAAGAAUCAUAAAUAUUCUAUAUGAAGUCCAUAAAAAAUAAUUCUGUAAAUUACAAUGAAAGGAUAUUUUAGCAAUUUUCAAUGAGUAGUUGCAUUUUCUUAGAUGAGCAAGUUACAUAGUAAUUAAUAACCAAAAGAUUAGCAUGAUUGCAACUGUAUUGUCGUAAUCAAGGAAUGCAAUUAGAACAUGUCGGGGCAAAGGAAACGAGAUGAUAAGGCGAGACUGAACAAUGUUUAGACUUGAUCUCAUGGCAGCAAUUUCUCAAAACAAUAUAGACACAUAGCCAGACACUGAGAGAUGAGAUGUGGAAGGGGUAAGAACAUGACAAUGCAUAUUAUUAUUGCCAUACACUACUUUCAUGCAUAUAGAUGUUAACAAGUGUGUACAUGUAGCUUCCUUUCUACACGGGCAAAAGUUUUAAAAUCUUAUUACAAAGUUUGGAUAAUAACCACUUUGAUAUACAUGAUUCUGAAAUCAUAUUAGCCGACAAGAUUCCAUAAGCAAGAUAAGAAACCAUAUGUGUAGCUAAUUUGGAUCUUGCAUUUGUGUGUGCACCAUAUAACAUUGUAUAUGUUCACCAUAUAGCAGUGCCUAUACGUGGUAAUUAAGACGCAAGAAGCCAACAAGAAAACUAGCCGCACAUAAAUCGCUGAACUUGAAAACUUAACCUGCAGCUAGACGCAUGCAUGUUUCACAUUAAGCUGAUGCUUUUGCUACCUACCUCAUUAAAAGUGCAUCUAAACCUCCUUUUUUUACUGUCAAUCAAUAAUUAAAUGCAAGGGUCUCUUGCUAGGUUCAGUUAGACUUAAUUCCAACAGAUCCAUAUGUUUGCUUUACUGUGUUCUCUACUACAGAAUUCAGAGAACAAGUAUAAGUGCACUUCUCCACCCACAAAGUUUUGGUAUAAUUUCUGAUUUCACACGAAAAGUUGUUUAGUAAUGGAAAGAUAAAAUCUUAUUCUGAUUUCUAGAUCAUUCAACUUCAAAAAAAACUUAUAUGGCUGAAACAACACUUACAUUUGGUAGAAGUCCGGGCAGCAGGAGGGCAACAGCUAACAGCCAUUCACAGAAGAUACUCAUGUCUUGCAGAUAUUUCUUCCUCUGCGAGCUCCCUCAAUGCCUCCGCGACCCCAACAUCCAGAGCCUCCGGGCACGACAAGUUUGAGCAGCGCAACCCGCGUCCGCACUGGACAUCUCCGUGACCGCGUUGCCAGAGUCGACGAGUUCACCGAGAUCCACGCACUCACCCAGCCACAUGUGCCACCACCAAGGAAGAAAAAUCAGGAGAAAAGAAGCGACAUGUGGAUCUGGGAUAGCGUGAGGAUUAGUUUCCUGAUGGGGCACAGAGACGUCGUCCUUCGCCGGCGGCAAAUCGGAAGAAAUGGCGGAUGUGUAUGAGGAGCCUGGCGGGGAUCGUACUGGAGAAGAGGAGAGUUCUUUUUUUUCACGGAGAGAGAGAGUUCUAUGUAGAUAUUUCUUUUAGGGCUGAGAGUUCU
rnacentral:lncRNA from 1 species